UGGGGAAUUUCGGACAAUGGGGGAAACCCUGAUCCAGCCAUCCCGCGUGUGCGAUGAAGGCCUUCGGGUUGUAAAGCACUUUUGGCAGGAAAGAAACGUCGCGGGUUAAUACCCCGCGAAACUGACGGUACCUGCAGAAUAAGCACCGGCUAACUACGUGCCAGCAGCCGCGGUAAUACGUAGGGUGCAAGCGUUAAUCGGAAUUACUGGGCGUAAAGCGUGCGCAGGCGGUUCGGAAAGAAAGAUGUGAAAUCCCAGAGCUUAACUUUGGAACUGCAUUUUUAACUACCGGGCUAGAGUGUGUCAGAGGGAGGUGGAAUUCCGCGUGUAGCAGUGAAAUGCGUAGAUAUGCGGAGGAACACCGAUGGCGAAGGCAGCCUCCUGGGAUAACACUGACGCUCAUGCACGAAAGCGUGGGGAGCAAACAGGAUUAGAUACCCUGGUAGUCCACGCCCUAAACGAUGUCAACUAGCUGUUGGGGCCUUCGGGCCUUGGUAGCGCAGCUAACGCGUGAAGUUGACCGCCUGGGGAGUACGGUCGCAAGAUUAAAACUCAAAGGAAUUGACGGGGUCGAUA
rnacentral:rRNA from 1 species